AUCUGUGCCCUUGCAUGCAAUAUCCAGACAGAUCACGUGCAAAGUCACAGCCACCUCACUGAUGGACACAAACUGAAUGUCACCAUCUAUGCUCCCACCAUGCUGUCCUCACCCUUGAUGGACACCCAAACCAAAACCCAGUAGAAGAAAAAAACCCUCACGUCUCCCAGGUGCCAACAGCUCCCAGUUAAACUUCCCCAGAUCAGGAGUGCUGAAAUUUAACAAGUAGUUUUUAUUGCUGCCAGGCAAAUCUUGACUUAGAAAACCAUUUCUUCAUUAAAAAGGUGCUGGUUCCUGAAUCCCAAAAGGCACCUGAGUCCUGCUGAAUAAACAGUGGUCCCUUGCUCUGCUCUGAGGCACCAGCCUGCUCCACCUGCAGCAGGAGCAGCUGAAGCUCACACAGCAUGAGAAAUGAAGUUUACAGUACAUAUUACAGCAGACUUCCAGAUGAGAGGACGAAGACUAUGAGUGAAGAGUGCCCUGGAGAUCUCCUGCAGUUCUUUUCCUGGCUCAGAACUGGAUUGAUCUGAGAAGAGUAAUUAUGAGGCUGACAUGUAUGUUCUCCUUCAUCUUGCUGUUUGGAGCAGUUGGGCUCGUUGUUUUCAUUCACCUGCAGGAUCCAGAAGAAAUAGUUCAUCAGCAGACACCAGGUGCCACCACAGACCUGGACAGUGUCCUGGACAGGGGCUGGGUGGCAGUGCCCUACCCACAGACAAGAGCUGGUAUUUGCUGUCCUGAAUUUCCUGCUCUGGCUUCCUUUGCUCAUUGAAGGAAUCCUUCUUGCUACAGUGCUGCUUAACAGUUUUCCCCUCACCUUAAUGUAUAUGUGUAGUAUAUAUAUAUAAAUGUGUAUAUAUGUGUGUAUAUAUAUAAUGUGUAUAUAUAUGUGUAUAUGUAUAAUGUGUUUCCCCUCACCUAGGUAUAUGUUUGAAGAAUCCAUAUAACAAAUAUUAUAUUUUAUGUUGUAUUUGACCAACACCAGAAAAGAUGUAACACUGACUAUUUCCCAGCAUUUUAGAGUAUGCUUUGGAAGCCCAGGAAACUCAGGAUGAUUUCCUUUUACUUCUACCUGAGCAUUUAUUUUCAGCCUGAGUCCUGUUUGGCUGGCUUUUCUGAAUGUAGCACCAUAAAGAAGCACAGAUUUCCAGGAUUAGAGAAAGUGGGUUCACUGCACAGUUCAAGCAUCAGCUGUUGAUCUUUGUUCCUGUACUUUGUCAUAGUAUUACUGCAGCCCCUAAAUAACACAGGGCUGAAUUGCCAAACUAAAAACACAUCAUUUGCACAGAUUCUCUGUGACAAAAAUAGCAGGACCCAGAUUAUGGGGUAAUUCAGCUUCUGGUGCUGCACGGUGUAGAUCAAGCACCAGACUGUAAUCUUUUUUGAGACCAGUAUGAAUAGCCAGAUAGAAACUGGGGAUCAGAACCUGCCCCAUGAGGUGCACAGAGCUGUCCCUGCUCAUUUUCUCUGCAAGGGUGGGGCAGGAUGUGCUAGGGAAGGUCUCACCUGAGGCACAGCCUGGCUCUUGAACAGCUCCAAAAGAGCCUUCCUUCCCAUUAUCAGAGCCUCUGACAAGGGCUGAAAUGGCCCAGAAAGAAUUAGGUUUGAAAUAGUUAAAAAAUGGGGUUACAAAUUUUGUGUGUUACAGAAAAUCAAACACCCAGAGUAAGUGAAUCCUGUAUUAAUUGGAAGUAAAAUGCACAUGAAGGUCUCACUGGCCAGUACAUGGUGACAAGCACAUUUUCUAAAGCCAUCCUGACAUUCCAGUGUGU
ensembl:lncRNA